UACGUAGGGCGCGAGCGUUAUCCGGAAUUAUUGGGCGUAAAGAGCUCGUAGGCGGUUUGUCACGUCUGCUGUGAAAACUGGAGGCUCAACCUCCAGCCUGCAGUGGGUACGGGCAGACCAGAGUGCGGUAGGGGAGAUUGGAAUUCCUGGUGUAGCGGUGGAAUGCGCAGAUAUCAGGAGGAACACCGAUGGCGAAGGCAGAUCUCUGGGCCGUAACUGACGCUGAGGAGCGAAAGCAUGGGGAGCGAACAGG
rnacentral:rRNA from 1 species